GAUGAACGCUAGCGGCAGGCUUAACACAUGCAAGUCGAGGGGCAGCACAAGUAGCAAUACUGGGUGGCGACCGGCGCAAGGGUGCGUAACGCGUGAGCAACAUGCCCGUAUCAGGGGGAUAAUCCAUGGAAACGUGGUCUAAUACCCCAUAGUAAGUUUUUGAGGCAUCUCAAGGAUUUUAAAGCUUUGGUGGAUACGGAUUGGCUCGCGUGACAUUAGCUGGAUGGUAGGGUAACGGCUUACCAUGGCUACGAUGUCUAGGGGUUCUGAGAGGAAGGUCCCCCACACUGGAACUGAGACACGGUCCAGACUCCUACGGGAGGCAGCAGUGAGGAAUAUUGGACAAUGGAUGGAAAUCUGAUCCAGCCAUGCCGCGUGCAGGAAGACGGCCCUAUGGGUUGUAAACUGCUUUUGAUGGGAGCAAUAAGAUCUACGUGUAGAUUGAUGAGAGUACCAUACGAAUAAGCACCGGCUAACUCCGUG
rnacentral:rRNA from 1 species